ensembl:lncRNA
AUUCAUCAAGGACCGAUCAACUGCUGCAGACUUUAGUUCCUUUUUUUUAAUUGUAUACAGACUUGAACGCUAUUGAUCUCAGGAUCCCCACCCUGCUGGGCACCCACGUGCACACUUCUUUUAUCUGAAUAAACCGGUUGCCCUUUCCUCCAAGAAAUUGUCCGCUUACUACUAUCGCCUUGGCUUAAUAGAAUCAGCCAGGAUACCCAGCUCCCUGAGUAACAAAACACUCGAAGCCAGGGGCGCCAUAAAUUGGAGAGAACUUGACGUCACAUAACAACAAUAAGGGAGCUUUCAAGGCAUUGGGCACUCACGCUGUCAGUCACCAGAGAUGGGUGAGCGGGAGAAGAAGGAUUGCUGGCCUAUGGAAUUAAGGGAAAAGCUGAGGAUCAAAGCCAGAACUUUAGUUUCUCCUUCCCCCGAACGUAGGGGCGGGACAGAACGUCCUCUGCCAUUUUAUUGGUGCGAGGGAGGAGAACGUGUGAUCGGCGAAAAUGAUUGGCUAAGCUAGCGGAGGGGGGAGUGUUUAAAGUCUGGGAAUUUCGCGCUAAAACUAAUUUCUCUUUGUGCUCGUAUCGUCGCUACUCCAGCUCCUCUCUAGAUUGUGUCUAAAUCGGACUAUAUACAUUUCUCAGCAGAAUCUUCUUAAAACAUCAUGAAAACCACAGAUAAUUUAUGCAAGAAGAAGUUUAUGCAGGACGUCCUUGAAGAUCUGGACACUUCUGAUCUGCAAAGUCUCCAAUCAAUAUUAAAUACAAAAGAAAUAAAUGGGACAACUAUUCCAAAAUCCAAAUUAGAGAAAAUAGAUCCUAUUAGCAUAGCUAAUGUGCUUAUUAGCUAUCAUGGGUCUGACUGUUUGGAGACACUUCGGGAUGCAUUGGCUGACAUUCCCAAGAAACAACUCGUCGAGAAAAUUUCUAAUAAAAUAGAAGAUGAUGAGCAUAAAGAAAAGCAGAAAACUGAAAGUCGAAAGGAAGAAAUUGAUGGUAUCCCAGCAAAGAAGCAAAAACUUCAGGACCUGCCAUCAUACAGUGGUAUNNUCAAGCUUUCUGAUAUGGAGGAUUAUGCUUUUAAAAAUCAAGACCAGUUGAUAAAGCAGCUAGAAAAACAGCUGGAACCUGCUGGAUUUGAAACAUUGGAAAAGCACCUGUCAGGGAGUACACUGAAGAAUUCCUUUUCACUCACUAGUCAGCAAUAUUACAACCUGUACUAUUGCCGAGAUCUAAACUCUUUUCUAAAUAACAGUGAUAAGAAAUUACCAAUGGUACCUAAGAAAAUACUUGCUCUCUUGUUCUCUGCUAGUAAGACCAAUAAAAAGAGGGGGGCUCAUAAAACGAAAAGAAAUGUUCAGAACUUCACAGAGGAUGACUCUGCUGAAUCUGCUGAUGAUGAUGAACAGGAAGGCAUUAAAGAUACACGUGGAUGGAAAAAUUACAAGGAAGAUGCCGUUACUGAAUCUGCUGCUGCAGAUGAACAGGAAGUCAGUAACGAUAUGAAUGAAUACAAAAACCACAAUGACUCCAUUCAGAAGACUGGAUUAUCUGUAAGUGAGUCAAGAAUGGAAUAUGAAAUGAAAAAAUCCUUAGUUAAUGAAGAGAAAAGGAAUGUUCAGGCCUUGCCAAAGGAUAAGUUUAUUGAGCCUCUUGAUUACAGUGAACAGGAAAAAAUUAAAGACAUUAAAUACAAAAAGAGUGUAAUUAAAAACUAUGCCAAAGAAGAAACUGAUGAGGUGCCAAACACAAUUCCAGAAAAUGAGCUGUAUGAGAAAUAUAAAGAAAUCUUCAGGACUUUAAAAAAGAAAUAUCAGGAAGAAGGACGGGACUUAUUACCCAACUCUCAACUCUAUGUAAACAAAAUCAGUGUUCGUAAGCACAAAAUAUACAGCUGUUUGAGAGCCCAGGAUGUGUUACUGGUUAAGUUACCAGAGGAAACAGAGUACCGUAUUUUAAAGAUUUUGGAGAAUAAAAAAGAUGUUACUGUGAAAGGAAACCUGAAGAAAAAUGUGGAAUUUGAAUUGAAGUUUAACAUGGCUAUUCUAGGUGUUCAGCGUUCUGUGCUUAUACAUGGUAGCAAUUUCUUUACAAGGGAUGCUUCUUCAUUUACAGAAUAUGAAGAGUUUUUUGAAAAGAUUGUGUCUAAAGUUGUACUUCCUGUCCUAGCCCUGUAUAAGAGGGUAUAUCAAGUUAUAUUCCAGAAGGCAUGGGCAGCCGAAGACAUUUUCCUGCCAGGAGUGGAACAGCAAACAGCAACCAGAGCCACCCAAAGCUAACUGAAUUAUUUGGCAUAUAAAGCGGAAAAUCUAACACAUCUGUGUGAUUGGGUUCAGUAAAAAGCUUGAGCAGUUUCUCCUUUUCGGCAAGUACAAAUAACGGAGUAUCAUCUUUUUUGUUUAACGUUUUAUUAAAGUCAACAACAGGAGAGUCCACAACAACUUCAAUAGGGCCAGUUGUGCCAACAUUCAACGGGGACUCAAUCCAAGAUAACUUUGAUUCUUUAUUCAACUUCUCUUUAUUUACUGGGGGUCUGGUCCAAAUCGCUCCCGGUUGAUAGGCUUCCUCAAGGGAGCAUUCUGGACUACACAAAUUGUCCCACAACUUGGAACAGAGAGGUAUAGGUCCUGGGUGCGAACCACCUUCUUCCGAGAACCGUGUCCGCACAGAAAGACCACCACUGUUCAUUCUAAGGGGGGGUCUGGUAACACUUCUCCAGUCUUUACAUUAGGUGGAUCAGGUAACAGCCCUCCAACUUUUACUAGAUUAGGAAAGUCAGCUAACAAUUCUCUAGUCUUUACAUACAAUUCUCUGGGUUCUCUCUCUAUUCCGGUCUCUUUUCCUCCUUUCAACUCCUCCUUUAUCAGUAUUCCAAAGACUUGAGACCCCCUUGCACCUCCUCCUUCUUCCUUCUCCCAAACUGAUAACUUCUACUUUCUACCCACUUUUUCCUAUGCAGUUAGAAAAAGCUCUACCCCUUUCUUCUCUCCUUUUAACCCCGCCUUCUCUUUCUCUUUGACACUCAGAUCUUUCAUCCCUCCUAUCACAACCCCUUUCGCCUUCUCUUUUUCUUCUGUCUCAUUGGUAUGAGGGGACGGCUCGCUCACUCACUCACUCUUUCAUUUACAUCUCUCACUCCUUCACAAUCUGUUCCCCCAACUAGCAGUAAAUACAGUAGGACUUCAGUAUCCAUGGGGGAUAAGGCUCCAAGCCUCCCCGUGCCCACAGGUGUCAAAAACCACAUAUAGCAAACCUAUAUACAGUGGUGCCUCGCAUAACGAGUGCACCGUUUAACGAUGAAUCUGCAUAGCGAUGUGGAUUUUGUGAUCGAAGAACUGAUCGCAUUGCGAUGUUUGAAUAGGAAAAAUAUUGCAUUGCGAUGAUCGGUAAGCAUUUCACUUACCAGUCUUCGCAUUGCGAUGUUUUCAUACAGCUGAUCGGCGGUUCCAAAAUGGCCGCCAGAAGAAGAAAAUGGCCACCCGCAGUGUUUUUGCACCGAUUCGUCGCUUACCGAGGCGGCAAAAAUGGUGGCUGGAUUGAGGAUUUCCGCUUAGCGGUGAGUUUUGUCCCCAUAGGAACGCAUUAAACGGAGUUUAAUGCGUUCCUAUGGGGUUUUUUGCCCCGGAUAGCUAUGAUUUAUCCGGAAUGGACUAUCGUCGUUACGCGGGGCACCACUGUAUAGCAUAGUCUCUGCUACCUUCUAGUGGUCAGUUUUGGUAGUACAUCAUAGAAACAUAGUACAGUACAGUAUUCUGGGAAUGGAGCAUUAUUUAAUAUUUUCAGGUAGCAGAUAACUGAAACGGCUGGUACUAAUCCUAGGGUCCCACUGUACAACAGAAAAGAGAACUAGUAAUCUUCUGUGCUUUAAUUGGAACUAAGAUCUGCAGCCAUUUCACUCUGCCUAACAGUAUGGUAGUUCUGCUAGAAGGUUGUCAAGGUUUGAAAUUUUAGAUGCAUAGAGUGUUACAAUAAUUAGGUAUAGAAAAAACAACCCUGAACAUGUACAUUGUGUUUUUCAAAUGAGGUUAAAUAAUAGUUUACUAAAAGUCACUCUAAAAUACCCAGCUCUCCAGUAAGGUCAAUGUGAAAUAACAAUGCCUCACAAGAUUAUUUCAUAAUAACCUAACAGUUGAGCGUGUGUGAAUAAUUGAUAAGGAAAUGUAAAACAACCAAGGAGAAAACUCCUAGAAUUCUAAAAUGCAAAUAGACAAAGUUAGUACCUGACCAACUUUAUGUUCAUGGAAUUUUGCUCACCCAGUAACAUAGCUAAUCCCACAAAUGCAGGGAAGCAGUUACUCAAAAUAAAAGCGAUUAUCUGCCAUGAUAGCA